ACCGAAAUGUCCGGUACAAAGCCAUCAGAAAAUCGGGCACCAUGUCUUCUUCUUCAUUUUGAAGAAAAUACCCCUCGUGGGUGACGAAUUACAUUUACAUAAAUAUUUUACGAGCACUGACUUACCCCUCUCAACGUUUUGACAGUUUGUCUGUUUGUUUUUCUCCCUCACUUUGCGUCGUCAUUUCGUUAUUGCAUUUUUGCUUAUUUUUGCGAUAUCCAAACACAUCUUCAUAAAAUAGAAGACCACUUUAUCAAGGAUAAUGUGGUCUUCGCGUAUACGGUUGUGGCCAUGGCGUCAAAUUUGGUGGUAAUAUUCAGGAAGCAAUAGUUUAAUUUGCAGAUGAAAGACUCGAAUAGAAACGUCUCCGCAAACCAACCUGUAAACCACCGUUCAAACGCCGUCGAUUGUAUCAUCAUUUUCUCGCGAUCCAACGUAUGUGUUCAUCGCCAGCUUCAACCUAUAGUAUUCCGGUUAAGAACCGAUGGUUUAAACAUCAGUCGGAUAUUUAGGAUCGCUACCGGUAAAUUAUGGGAUAAUUUCUGGAAGUCUGCCCACAUAUGAAACACCUCCGCAUAAUCUCCCGCCAUCAAACGCCUAUACACGACCUGGGAAGACCGCUAGCAGUUGAGCAUGCGUAGCGUUCGUACUGGCCUUCUAAAGAGCAACAAUUAUAUCCCAUACUUUUCUCCGACGACGCACCAUACGAUUGUUCCGGAAAUGAUCAUCGCUAGCGUAGAAACAAGGCCAACUGAAGUCCGAUUCUAAUAUCCAAACAAACGUUCAUUGAUCAUCGGAGCAUCGAAGAUAUUUGCGCAUAACAGUAGCAGCAAAGCUACAGCGAUGUUAAAUAAAUCGGAAGUGCUGAUACCAUCAUAGAGACAACCCUGGUAAAUCAGUCAUUCUCCUCUAGCACGCAGCGUUCACCAUGUAGAUAGGCCAUAUGCGCGAGCCGGACCAAAUUCCUUGGUUGGCUCCAUUCAGACAAAAAAAAGUACUUGAACGAGAAUGAUCGCAUGUCGUUACUUUUAAAUAAUUGAGACAGAAUGUGGCGACUGAUACAACUAAGUAUUACUUUGAGGUCUCUCUUAAUGAGAUGCUGAAAGCGUUGGAUCAUGGCACCGCUGUUUACCAAUUCGGCGACCCAGUGGACUAUAACCGCCAUUACCAUCCGGAGCAGUCUAGCGCAUUGUCACCUUGUACACACGCAAAUGGUACGACAUGAUCAGCAGUCGCAGGAGAUUAGAGGAAAUUAAAUGCUAUUAGAAGAUCAAUAACAGCUUCCUCCUCCGGUACAAGAAUCUGAACACCAACUGCAAUAAUAUCAAGUGCAUCAUCAUCCGCUACAUUAUGUUGCAGCUAACAUCACUACACCAGCACCGGAAUCAUCACACCGGAAUGAUCAAAUACCUUCUCAAUGUCCUCAGAAACAACCUACUACCCAGAGAAAUUCAUUGAGUGAACCCAGUAGAUUAAUGUGGAACUGCUUGUCCAUAUUAGCCCAGCAAGCGUCGCCAGCAAGUUUACUCAGAUAUGGGUAAAAAUUACCUAUAUUCGUUCCAUAUGAAUUUAUUGAAACAUAAAAGUUGAAAUUAUAAUUUCUUUGACUAGCUUAUACCAAAAUUAAAUGUAUAGGACAUAAGAUGGUACUGCCUCGAGUGCUGCACCAGCAGUUGAAAAAGUGGUUGACGGGACCAUCUGCCAUUUGCUGAACUCUCGAAUCAGGAAUAUGCUUGUAGGUGGCAGGCACUUUAUGGUACUGGCGAACAUGGAUCACGAUGUUGACAGUGCUGUAAAGAGAAUAUGUUCUUAGUAGAGAAGAGGUUCAUGUAGUUCAUUGUUGGAAUUGUCGACAAGAGAACUUUUUGUCACACAUUAAGAAUUAAACCCAACUUGUGUAACGGCUCAAAUCGUUAUGUCCAAUGAAAAAAAAACUUAGCACUUUCGUGGAACUUAUGAGGAAAAUUUCUCUAGGCGACCAUUUCGGGUUUCAACUUAAAAUGAUCAAAACUUACCUCAAAU